rnacentral:rRNA from 1 species
UAGGGAAUCUUCGGCAAUGGGGGGAACCCUGAACGAGCAACGCCGCGUGAGUGAAGAAGGUUUUCGGAUCGUAAAGCUCUGUUGUUAAGGAAGAACGAGUGUGAGACUGGAAAGUUCAUACUGUGACGGUACUUAACCAGAAAGGGACGGCUAACUACGUGCCAGCAGCCGCGGUAAUACGUAGGUCCCGAGCGUUGUCCGGAUUUAUUGGGCGUAAAGCGAGCGCAGGCGGUUAGAAAAGUCUGAAGUGAAAAGCAGUGGCUCAACCAUUGUAGGCUUUGGAAACUGUUUAACUUGAGUGCAGAAGGGGAGAGGGGAAUUCCAUGUGUAGCGGUGAAAUGCGUAGAUAUAUGGAGGAACACCGGUGGAGAAAGCGGCUCUCUGGUCUGUAACUGACGCUGAGGCUCGAAAGCGUGGGGAGCGAACAGG